GAUUUCCAUGAGUUUCAUGCAACAAAUGGGAAGCAGCAGGGCCCGUCUGGCUAGUGCUCCAGUGAUGAAUUUUGUUGAACUAGGUAAAGCUUUAGAUGUCAGACAUGCUCUGAACUUUACUGCACAAGCAUUCGACAGCAUGGUUCUAUUAGUGACAGAGGGAUUUGGAGGUACAGGUACUGAAGGGUAAUGGAUUUGAAGGUUGCUAUAUCUUGAGUUGUCCCAUUGUCUUACUAAAUUCAGGAUUCAACCCAGGAGAGUGUACAGAAUAUGCAGGUUUGUAUUGUUUCCGGUGUAUGUUGGUGAUGCAUCGGAUGUCACUCAGUUUCUAGGAAAUUCAAGAUGGCAUGUAAGCUUCUCCUAUUUGAUGUAUUUUUACUUUCUCAAAAUCUCUUUAUUAAUACCAAUGGUGAUUCUAUUUCUGCCUGAUGACUUGAUGUCAUAUUGUUUAGCAAAGAAACAGACAAACAAGGAGAGAAAACUUAAACAAGAGAGAUGUAUGAGGAUGUCAGCAUCUCAUCAAACAUGUAUUGUGAGGACACCCUUCGUCCGACCUAAUCUUGACGAUCAUCCGUAG
rnacentral:lncRNA from 1 species